rnacentral:rRNA from 1 species
CUGGUGUGCUUCCUGCCCACGAGGAAAGAAGAGCGACAAGGUUCAGAUUUGACUGUUUGCAGCAUGGGAGCUGAUUACCCAAAAAAUCCCUGGGAAAAAAGAAAAGAUAUCUCGGUAACGAAAACCAUAGGAGGCUGUAUUGGCGAGAUCCAAGGGUUCACAGCAGCCCAAAAGAAAAACCGCCUGGAAGUCCGAGGACCUUUAGUACCAUACCGAACCAGCAGCCUUCGCGCCAAGCGACGACCGCCCUUGUCCCUUUCCUUUUUCCAUUCAGCCUACUUCUUAGCUUUGUUCCGUCAGUCUAAGGCAAAGCUUAAGUGAUCUUUCUUUCUAUCAAUAGAUAGGAAAGAGUGUUCGUUAUAG